UGGGGCUCUCUUCCUGUUCUCAGCUGUGGGCCAUAGCAAACAGUCCUGAGGCCUGUGCAGACGCCAAGGGAUCCGAGCUCACUGUCCCAGGCCCUACGCAGGUGUUGGAAGAUGGAAGGGAGCAGCCUCAGCCCCAGGAUGUUGCCUGAACUAUUAGAGUGCUUCAAGAGAAACAAAGUGGCGAUUUCUCAUGCGAUAAAAACAACAUUUCCUUUUCUUGAGGGCCUCCGAGACAACAAUUUCAUCACUAGUAAAAUGUAUGAAGAUUUUCAAGAUUCUUGUAGAGCGCUGGUCCCUGUACAGAAAGUGAUCUACAAAGCCCUGGAUGAACUGGAGAAGAAAUUUGACAUAGAGGUCCUUCAUGAAUUGUUCAGUGCUGUCAACUUGAAUAAGUACCCCAAUUUGGAAGUCAUUCGUAGAAGGUUUGAAAAUGUGUUACCGAAUGGAUUUUUUUUCUACAGACAUAAUGGAGGUGAACCAAACUCCCAGCUAAGUCUUGAACCAGGUCCUAGUGGCAGCUGUUCUCAAAGAAGCCUGACCUGGUUACCCUCAGGUCCCUCCUCAUCUGAAGGCUGGAGAAGUAAUGAUAGAAGAAAUUCCAGUCUCAUCCAGGGAAACCAAACUGAGAAUCAUCAACUCUCCAAAUCACCAAAUCACCUUGUUUCAAGUUUGCCUGAAGAUGGCCUCUCGGAAGACCUCUGUGAAAACGAACAUAUUAGCAGAGUGAGAAGAGAUGCCUCCACUAACACGGGCAACAAUACUAAUGAACCAGAAAGGAAACCAACAAUCCUGCCUAGAGGCCCAGGUUCUGUGCCAGAGGACUCCCGUGAACUCCAAGUCCAGCUGAACAACAGGAAUGCUACCACAGAGUCUCGCAGCCUAUUGCCCCAGAAUGAAAAGAUUUCAAGUUUGCCUGAAGAUGGCCUCUCGGAAGACCUCUGUGAAAACGAACAUAUCAGCAGAGUGAGAAAAGAUGCCUCCACUAACACGGGCAACAAUACUAAUGAACCAGAAAGGAAACCAACAAUCCUGCCUAGAGGCCCAGGUUCUGUGCCAGAGGGGGCUGAGCAACUCAACAAUGAAUUCCUGAUAAGUCCCUGUUCUGUGAUUCUGGUAGAUAUAAAGAAUGAAAAUGCAUCAGUUUCUUUGCAUGGUAACCAACAGACUCAAGCAAGGACCAAACAAAAUGAGGACUCUGAGGUAAUAGUACUCAGCAAUGAUAAUUCUGAUGGUGAAGACAACUUCUCAGAAGCCUCCACCUUAUUCCCCUCCCAGCCAGCACCUGCAUAUUCCAGAAAACCUCCCACACAGAGAACAUACAGAAGAGGAGAUACUGCUGAUACCAACAGCUCAAUCAUUAAAAGACUGAAAAGAACAGGGCAAACAAAUGUGCCAUAUACUUGCGAUCCCAUCCCAGUGGACAUGGAGGCAGGAGAAUCCUUGGCCUCACCAACCAACCAGAUCCGCCAACCUGGGAGAAGGAGAGAGAGACAUGGAAACUACUUAAUACGGAACAUCAAAAUCCCAAUUAAAACAAGCUGGAAAACAGCUUUAGCAAGACGUGUCAAUCCUUCUUCACAACAAGGCAGAAGAAGAGGUCGGAGAAUUCCCAGAGAUGACAAUGCGGAUUUUGGAGGCACUGAGCUUCCGGUGAGAUGUGGCAAUGUUGAGGGGACUCUGCAUAAGGAGAAAUUUAAGCAAGGCAUCUACGUGAAGAGUAUCAAGAGUCAGACAGGACGAUGGCUCAAUCCCAUGGAGUUUGAAAUUGAAGGAAACCGUGAAAAAUCCAAGCACUGGAGGCAAAGCAUCCGCUGCAAGGGGUGGACCCUGACAGAACUGAUAAAGAAAGGAGUACUGCAAAACCCACCAAGAACAAAGGUAGCUACAUCCUACAGUCUCCGGCCAUGACAUCUGAGGCUAUUGCCUACGCAUUGUUUGUUUUGCAUCCCCACUUGACUGUAUGCUUUUUAAAAAUCAUCUCAUUUGGAUUUGACCAGAUUUGGAUAUAUCCUAUGGUGCUCACCUAGUUGUGGUUUUACAGUGAUUUGCUUCUUUGAGCAUCAAACGUUUGAGGUAGAGAUGGAACUGACUGAUCUCUUCUGACUUUCAGAAGGAAAUCCCACCAAACCCACGGCGAACAAAGAGAAAGCUGGGAAAUCCAAAAGCAUGUAAAGUAUGCUGCAAACCACGGAAAUUGUACCCUUGUGCU